GAGCUAGCAGCAUGUAUAAUAAAAUUGGAUCAAUCAGGAAAACAUUAGCAUGGCUGCUGGGCAAGGAUGCAAUGCACAUUUUGUGAAGCAUUCCAUAUUUUA